ACUCCUACGGGAGGCAGCAGUGGGGAAUAUUGCACAAUGGGCGCAAGCCUGAUGCAGCCAUGCCGCGUGUAUGAAGAAGGGCUUCGGGUUGUAAAGUACUUUCAGCGGGGAGGAAGGCGAUAAGGUUAAUAACCUUGUCGAUUGACGUUACCCGCAGAAGAAGCACCGGCUAACUCCGUGCCAGCAGCCGCGGUAAUA
rnacentral:rRNA from 1 species